GCCCGGGCCGCCGGAGGGGCUGAGGAAGGGCCGACGAAUUGGUGGUUCCCAGGACAAGCCGCGGGCUGUAGCUGAGCUCCACCCGCCGCCUGUCCAAGGAGCUGCAGCUGAGGAACAAAGUGAAGCGGGAGCAGAAUGCCGGGCUGCAGCACCAGAGGCAGCGUUGGAAGGAGCGCAGCUCGGAGGCGGCGGUGCUGGAGAAGCGUGUCAGGGAGCUGCCAGAGCGCCUGGGGAGGAGAAAGGCAGCUCUGCCGCAGGAGGAGAAUGUACCGGUUUCUUCAGGUGGGAAUUGCCCACAGCCAGUGGCUUCUGCUCCAAGAGGAGUAGCAGCAGUAGGUCCUUCUAUCCAGUCCUCUGCUACACCACGUAUGGCUUCCAGACCUGAACUUGGGGUGAAAGCAGCAUUCUCGGGUGGGACGUGAGCCUUGCCGGGCAGCUGAGGGUCUGCUAAAAUCACAAACUC